rnacentral:rRNA from 1 species
AUAAAUUGAGAGUUUGAUCCUGGCUCAGGACGAACGCUGGCGGCGUGCCUAAUACAUGCAAGUCGAGCGAGUCUGCCUUGAAGAUCGGAGUGCUUGCACUCUGUGAAACAAGAUACAGGCUAGCGGCGGACGGGUGAGUAACACGUGGGUAACCUGCCCAAGAGAUCGGGAUAACACCUGGAAACAGAUGCUAAUACCGGAUAACAACAGAUGAUGCCUAUCAACUGUUUAAAAGAUGGUUCUGCUAUCACUCUUGGAUGGACCUGCGGUGCAUUAGCUAGUUGGUAGGGUAACGGCCUACCAAGGCGAUGAUGCAUAGCCGAGUUGAGAGACUGAUCGGCCACAUUGGGACUGAGACACGGCCCAAACUCCUACGGGAGGCAGCAGUAGGGAAUCUUCCACAAUGGACGCAAGUCUGAUGGAGCAACGCCGCGUGAGUGAAGAAGGGUUUCGGCUCGUAAAGCUCUGUUGUUGGUGAAGAAGGACAGGGGUAGUAACUGACCUUUGUUUGACGGUAAUCAAUUAGAAAGUCACGGCUAACUACGUGCCAGCAGCCGCGGUAAUACGUAGGUGGCAAGCGUUGUCCGGAUUUAUUGGGCGUAAAGCGAGUGCAGGCGGCUCGAUAAGUCUGAUGUGAAAGCCUUCGGCUCAACCGGAGAAUUGCAUCAGAAACUGUCGAGCUUGAGUACAGAAGAGGAGAGUGGAACUCCAUGUGUAGCGGUGAAAUGCGUAGAUAUAUGGAAGAACACCGGUGGCGAAGGCGGCUCUCUGGUCUGUUACUGACGCUGAGGCUCGAAAGCAUGGGUAGCGAACAGGAUUAGAUACCCUGGUAGUCCAUGCCGUAAACGAUGAGUGCUAAGUGUUGGGAGGUUUCCGCCUCUCAGUGCUGCAGCUAACGCAUUAAGCACUCCGCCUGGGGAGUACGACCGCAAGGUUGAAACUCAAAGGAAUUGACGGGGGCCCGCACAAGCGGUGGAGCAUGUGGUUUAAUUCGAAGCAACGCGAAGAACCUUACCAGGUCUUGACAUCCAUAGCCAGUCUAAGAGAUUAGAUGUUCCCUUCGGGGACUAUGAGACAGGUGGUGCAUGGCUGUCGUCAGCUCGUGUCGUGAGAUGUUGGGUUAAGUCCCGCAACGAGCGCAACCCUUG